UGCCAGCCGCCGCGGUAAUACGAAAGGUGCGAGCGUUAAUCGGAAUUACUGGGCGUAAAGCGCGCGUAGGAUGUCUGUCAAGUCGGGUGUGAAAUCUUGCGGCUCAACCGCGGAACUGCACUCGAUACUGGCGGGCUUGAGUCCGCGAGGGGUGAACGGAGUUCCUGGUGUAGCGGUGGAAUGCGUAGAUAUCAGGAAGAACACCGAUGGCGAAGGCGGUUCACUGGCGCGGUACUGACUCUGAGGGACGAAAGCAUGGGUAGCGAACAGGAUUAGAUA
rnacentral:rRNA from 1 species